ensembl:misc_RNA 7SK 7SK RNA
GGAUGUGAGGGCAAGUGACAUCUGUCACCCCAUUGAUCACCAGGGUUGAUUCGGCUGAUCUGGCUGGCUAGGCAGGUGUCCCCUUCCUCACACAGCUCCAUGUGCAUCCCGCCCAAAGCUGCACACUUGGUGGAAGGGAUGACCACCCCUGAUGGAGGAAGAUCAUUUCUUCAGUCAAGGGUAUACGAGUAGCUGUGCUCCCCAGCCUCCAAAAUUUAGUUGCCUCUGAAUUCUACAUCUCCUUC